rnacentral:rRNA from 1 species
UCGAACAACAGGGAUGCCCUAGUACGGCGAGUGAAGCGGCAACAGCUCAAAUUUGAAAUCUGGCCCUCGGGUCCGAGUUGUAAUUUGUAGAGGAUGAUUUUGGUUAGGUACCUUCCGAGUUCCUUGGAACAGGACGCCUUAGAGGGUGAGAGCCCCGUACGGUUGGAUGCCGAGCCUCUGUAAAUCUCCUUCGACGAGUCGAGUAGUUUGGGAAUGCUGCUCUAAAUGGGAGGUAAAUUUCUUCUAAAGCUAAAUACCGGCCAGAGACCGAUAGCGCACAAGUAGAGUGAUCGAAAGAUGAAAAGCACUUUGAAAAGAGGGUUAAAUAGUACGUGAAAUUGUUGAAAGGGAAGGGCUUGUGACCAGACCUUUGCCUUGCGGAUCAUCCGGUGUUCUCACCGGUGCACUCCGCUUGGUUGAGGCCAGCAUCAGUUUCGGCGGCGGGAUAAAGACUUCAGGAACGUGACUCCCCCGGGAGUGUUAUAGCCUGCUGUGUAAUACCGCCGCUGGGACUGAGGACCGCGCUUCGGCUAGGAUGCUGGCAUAAUGGUCAUCAGCCACCCGUCUUGAAACACGGACCAAGGAGUCGAACAUUUAUGCGAGUUUUUGGGUGUUAAACCCUCAAGCGUAAUGAAAGUGAACGGAGGUGAGAGCCCUUACGGGUGCAUCAUCGACCGAUCCUGAUGUCUUCGGAUGGAUUUGAGUAAGAGCAUAACUGUUCGGACCCGAAAGAUGGUGAACUAUGCGUGGAUAGGGUGAAGCCAGAGGAAACUCUGGUGGAGGCUCGCAGCGGUUCUGACGUGCAAAUCGAUCGUCAAAUCUGCGCAUGGGGCGAAAGACUAUCGA